rnacentral:rRNA from 1 species
GUGAGGAAUUUUCCGCAAUGGGCGAAAGCCUGACGGAGCAAUGCCGCGUGAAGGAUGAAGGCCUAUGGGUUGUAAACUUCUUUUCUCAGAAAAGAAUUAUGACGGUAUCUGAGGAAUAAGCAUCGGCUAACUCUGUGCCAGCAGCCGCGGUAAGACAGAGGAUGCAAGCGUUAUCCGGAAUGAUUGGGCGUAACGCGUCUGUAGGUUGUUUAAAAAGUAUUCUGUCAAAGAUUAGGGCUUAACCCUAGAUAGGCAGAAUAAACUUUUAAGCUAGAGUUUGGUAGAGGCAGAGGGAAUUCCCGGUGGAGCAGUGAAAUGCGUAGAUAUCGGGAGGAACACCAAAGGCGAAGGCACUCUGCUGGGCCAAUACUAACACUGAGAGACGAAAGCGAGGGGAGCAAAUGGGAUUAGAUACCCCGGUAGUCC